rnacentral:misc_RNA from 1 species
CAGAGUUCAUGCCCUCACGGGUAGACCUCCCACCCUUGUGUUAUUAUACUAUGUUGCUUUGGCGGGCCGCGGGGCUCACGCCACGCCCUGGGCUCUCGAGCCUGGGUGUGCCCGCCAGAGGAAACCUAAAUUCUGAAUGUUUGUGUCGUCUGAGUACUAUAUAAUAAUUA